rnacentral:lncRNA from 1 species
CAUCGGUAGCGCUGGCAUUUGUGUAGCUCAAAGACAGCACGGAGAAUUCGAAGAAUAGGGCGAUAACGUUACAGGAGAAUGUUUAAUACCAACAAAAGAAUGAAGGAAGUGAUCUUGAGCAAAAGAUAUGGAUAACACGAAGAUUGGUGAAAUGAAGGGAAUGACAGUGCUGACAAUAUACACGAGAACAAAGAAUCAUCAUGAUAUCAAAGAGCUAAGGCAAGACCAGGUCACGACAGCGCUGACCUAGCCAAGACAGCCGACGAAGACUAGCUAAGGCAAGACCAAGUCGCGAUAGCGCUGACCUAGCCAAGACAGCCGAAGACCAGCUAAGGCAAUACCAGGUCGCAACAGCGAUGACCUAGCCAAGACAGCCGAAGACCAGCAUUGGAAAGAUAAUGACACCCGAUAAAAGCUGAGCAAUCAGUCAGUUAUUAGUGCUCUUGAUAAAGGUAGGUAGUUAAACACCAAUAUGCAGUGUACGUGAAUAUUAGUAGAUUUACCAUUUUACCGCUCUUGGUGUCUGUUGUAUAAAUAGAGUGUUGUAUACUUGUAUUCAUUUGUGAGGAGGAUCUUUUUCAGUCAUUCUGGGGGAGGGGGGGCUAAGAUCUCUUUUUAGUCAUCUCUUUUUCGUGAGCACAUCUGUAAAGUGUAAACUCUCUCAAAUAUAGUGAAAUGGUCCGAUGGCCUCCCGUGGAUGUAGAUCAUUCGAUCGAACCACGUAAAAUCCUUG